CCUCGGUGAGGCCGCGUAAAUUGCGUUGCCACGGAAACGGUUGCUGGUGUCGUUGGAACCUGGUUCUUUUGACUGAGAAGCGGCCACCAGGGGCGCUACUCACAAUAUGUUCAAGGUAGCCAGCAGAGCAGAGGUGAGGUGGACAGAUCAAUUUCACCUCCCGCCAGACAAGCAUUAGGUGAAUCAUUUGAUGCAAUUACAAAUGCUAAGCCUAAUGGAUGACACCCAGGAAAAGGUAAAGAAGAGCGGGAAGGAGAAGCUUCCUGACGAUUUCCAUGGUAAAGCUAUGUGUCACGUUGUCUCUGAUCAUCUUCAAAACAAGUCUGCGGGUUUUAUCUUUAAGUUGAUGUGCCCUGUCUUCGCUCAAGGUGGAGCUGAAACCAGUUGCAAAAUUUCACUCUUCUGGAAUCCAGAGGAUCUAGGAAAAAUGGGGUCUACGUUUCUAAGUCAGAAAGAAGCAGUGGUUUCCCUGCCGCUCAUUGGACACCGCUCUCGCGAGCUGGAUUGGGCACCGGGCAGGGAGAAGGAGGCGCCGGGUGAGCCGCCUGGGACGAAUUGCUGACCCGGCUGGGCACUGCAGGCGCAGUUAAACGCGAAUGGUGCACGCAGCUCUCCCGAGCUCCCCGUACACACACGGCCUCCCCCAAAGGAAGCCCACUGCUGCCUAGGACCUCAGGCUGGUGUCGCUGGAGGGGUGUCAAGCUUGGAGGACUUCAGCCUGGGUGCUGCUCACCGAAGGGAAAAGGCACCCUCUCUAGUCAAGCCUCCCCUGCAGAGACUCCCAGCAGCCGGCCCCUCUCCCCAGGAACUCUCAGACACCCCUACAGACGCCCAUCCACGAACGAUCUCGCCUCGGAAGGAAGUGGAGAGGUCUGGGGAGAGCGAGACUGGAGUGAAGAGGUGGGGACUCCCGUCUGCAGCAGUUGGGGAGGGCUUGGAAAAUGGAGCAAGCGACCAGAGUAAAGGAAGGGCAGGGGCCCCGUCCCAGCAACCUGUAGGAUUGACGAUGAUCGCGAACGUGGGGUGGGAGGCAGUGGUCCCCUCGGAGGUUCUCCGCCCGAGUCCCAUCCCGUUGGGCUCGGCGCGCGGAGAGGUGCAGGGUGUAACUUCGGGGGCCAGCGCCAUGGUUGCAGGUCCCGCUCAAUCGCCCAGCUCGCUCAGCCCGCCGCUUACCUCGGACAGCCGCAGCCCGCCGCCCAGAAGCAGAGCCCUAGCCAAGGGAGCCACCGGCGCGCCUGUCCAGCGCCUCCUCCUGCGGCGACGGCUGUCCCCAGGCUGCUACUCCCGCUUCGGAGUACUGCUCCUCUUGCGCGCCCUGGGAGCCCGGGAGAGGCACGGCGAGCCACGGGCCAAGACCAGUGGGUCCCGGGGGUCUUCAGCGAGUAACUGCUCCAUGGCCUCUCCCUACAGCACCGGGGCAGGGCACUCUGAGCCGCCGCGCGCUGGAUACCCAGAGGAUCCGCGCGCUCCCAUAUCCUCCCACAGCGGGGCGAUCACUGCCGCCACAGUCACUGCCAGAGUCGCCCCCCGUCCCCUCCGCACCUCUCGCUCGCAGCGCUCCCGCCGCCGCCGGAUUCCGGACUGAAGGGAAGAGAUUUUUAACCAUUACAGCUGUCCACUCACGGAAUGCUUUGUGAAAUACCGAUCCUCCAAUACCAUUUUGGUGAAGAACCCAGGCUGCGGGCAGACACACCUGGCCCUACUGCCAAGCUACGGGCAGGCCACUUCACCUCGCUGUACCUCUCUUCCUCGCAUGUAAAAUGGCAACACCAACUGCAUAGAGUUGUCGAUCUAAAUAUUUUUAAAUUAUUUUUAAAAAAUGGAUAAUAGUGGUACAGCCACUUUGGAAGGCAGUGUGGCAAUUUCUUACAAAGAUAGAUGGGGCCUUACUAUUCAAUCCAACAAUGACACUUCUAGGUAUUUGCUCAAUUGACGUGAAUACUAAAUGUUCACAAAAAACUUGCUUGGGAAUAUUUAUAGCAGCUUUAUUCAUAAUUGUCAAAAUUUAGAAGCAACCAAGGUGCCCUUUAAUAGGUGAAUGGGUAAACGCACAGUGGUAUGUUUCAUGAGUUAUCUUCCAUAAAAAGAUAUGGAUAAUCUUAAAUGCAUAUUUGCUAAGUGAAAAAAAAGCCAGUCUACAAAUACUACAUAUUGUAAGAUUUUAGUUUUAUAACAUUCUGGAAAAGGAAAACUAUGGACAGUUUUAAGAUCAAUGGUUGACAGAAGGUCAAUGGGAGGGAGGAGGGAGGGUUGAAUUGAUGAAGCACAGGGGUGUUUUAGGUGAUGAAACUAUUCUGUCUGGGAUGAUAUAUGACCCUAUGCAUUUGCCAAAACUCAUAGAAUGUCACAGCACAAAGACUGAAUUAUGUAUGCAGAUAAACAAAAAAAAAUCACUUUGGGGGUCAGCGGAAUCCCAGGGUGGAAUGCAGAAUGUGACGAAAUAAUUGAACAGUUUUAUAAAUGUAUGAACAUCGUCUCUGAAGAGAGCGGGAAAAAAAAGAUGAUGACACAGGUAACUUGUCAACAAUCAGCUGACUGUAUAUUUGAGGGUUUAUUUCCGUUCUCUCAAUUCUGUCCCAUUGGUCUAUACCUAUAUCCUCAUGCCACACUGUUUUGCUCACAGUCACUUUGCAGUAGGUUUUGAAAUCGGGAAGGGUGACGACUCCAACUUUUCUUAAUUUCCUUUUCACAUUGUUCAUUGCUGAGAUUCCAUUUCCCCACAGGGUCUUGGAAGAGAAAUGCCAUUACUCUUCAUCACGGAAGAGUAAUGUAGUAAAAUGCUUUGUAAACCAUGAAGUGCUGGAAAAAUUAAGGCGUUGGGAUUGUUACCGGGAUAAUAAUAAUAACGAAGAAUGAAGCCUCUAACCUGCAUCAUCCAGUAUGGCCCCCAGCCACGUGUGACGAUGUAAAUUUAAAAUAAAAUCAAGUAAAAAUUAAGUCCCUUCAUCACAGUAGCCACAUUUCAAGGGAGGAAUAAGUGAGAUGACCAUGUGAAGCACCUGGUACCUAGGAAUAUCUCAGGAGCCCUUGAGUGAAAGGUUCUACCUGUGUCCAAAGUCUAAGCUUGUUCCUUGUCUAUUUAAAUUUUUCCUCCUUACUGACUUUGAAGAUCUUGUUAUUGAAAUAUAACAAGCGUACAGAAAAGUGGACAAAUGUGCUAGCCAUGAAAUUCACGUCUCAGGCCUCCUGCAGAGGGCACAGGGGUCAGACCUACAUGGCUGACUCCUGCUUUCCCAGCUUCCAGCUCCCUUCCAUUUCCCUCAUAGACAUUUUCCCAGAAAAACUUUUGCACAUUCACCCUGUCUUGGCAUCUGCUUACUGCGGGAUGUAGGUAAUACAAACGGUACUAGUAAUUGUCCUUAGACCAUUAAAUGCGUGAUAAAAUGGGCAUCCGAAACUGGCUCACUCACAGCUUGGCAAGCACAGAGGUGCCAGCCCAGUUGGUAGGCGGGCAUAGAGAGUCCAUGGUGCAAGGUGGCAGCUUAGUUGCAAAAGAUUUCACUGGUGGGAAAAUAUCUGAGUGGAGGGAAGGUCUGUGGCAGGUGCACUGAUUGUGGUAUUUGAAGGAUACUGAAGAGUGGUGAACAAUGCCUACGAAGAUGAACAGGGUGGAUUGGUUGUUGCCAAGUUGUGUGAGUGCCCUGCAGACGGAUAAUGAAAGACCAGGGCUUGGUUCCUCUGGUUCCCUCUCCCUUUACACUCGUAGAAUUUUCCCCAGUCAGUCCUAUGCACAUUUUAUCCCAUUUGGCAUCUGCUCUUAGAGAAUCUGGACUAAUGCAACCAGUCAUAGAUUUAUAGCUUGAUUAUUUUUUGCAAACCAGAUACACCCACAUAACCAGCACCCAGCUCAGGAAACAGAAGAUGACCAGCACCCAGGAGCCCUCCUGGUAGUGCACCCUUCCACUUCCUGUCCUCAGAAACAAUCAUUGAUCUGACUUGCCACAUCAUACCUUAGUUUUGCCGAUUUUUGAACUUUGUGUGAAUGAAAAAUGUUGCCUGCCAUAUCAGUAAACAAAGGAUGUUGUAACCAUUAAACUGUCAGCUACUGCAGCUGCCCAGACUGCACCCUGAGGGGAUUUGGAAUAGAGAAAAUCAGGAUCCUGGUCCUAGAUAGUUAAGAUGUUUAUCAGAGGAAUGAUUUCAAUGAGCCCAGACUUUUGCAUCUUCCCAUACAUAGAAAAGCACUGGAUUCAUUAACUUGCGAUGUCUGUAUUUUAUUUAAUUAACAGUAAUUUUUGGACAUUAUGACUACCUGGGUUUGUUUUUUUCUUCAAAAACUCCUGUAUAUCCUGGCUCCUCCCUUACCUCUUUGGAACAGUCCCUCGUAGCCAUCUGAGAGGCUGUCUCCUGGGCUUAAGUCCUCAGCAAGUCUGCCAAAUAAAACAUAAUUUUCAACUUC